CCUUCUACUAGAAGAGAAGGGUUUUCUGCCAUUCCUAAUGUAAAAUUGUAAGAUGUAGGUGGACUAGAUCUUAUAAGGAAGAAACUUGAUCGAUUCAUAAUUAGGCAUUUAAAAUACCACGAGAAAUUUAAGUGUGUUUGUGACUGGGAUGAUCAUGAAAAUAAGUUUAUUGAAGUUGAAGGAAUUCUGAGAAGACAGAUAAGGAUGUCUCUUAUUCCUAGUGUGCAACCUUUCCAUGCAAUAGCCUAUCCAAUUGAUCCAAUGCUUGCACUAGAGAUAAG